rnacentral:rRNA from 1 species
CCCUUAGAUGUUCUGGGCCGCACGCGUGCUACACUGAGGCAUUCAACGAGUCUAAAACCUGGUCUGAUAGGGCUGGGUAAUCUUUUGAAAGUGCAUCGUGAUUGGGAUAGAUGAUUGCAAUUCUUCAUCUUCAACGAGGAAUGCCUAGUAAACGCAAGUCAUCAGCUUGCAUUGAUUACGUCCCUGCCCUUUGUACACACCGCCCGUCGCUCCUACCGAUUGAAUGAUCCGAUGAAUACCAUGGAUUGAGAGUACGAAUAGGUUCGCUUAUUUCUGCUGCUCGAGAAGUGGAGUAAAUCUUAUCAUUUAGAGGAAGGAGAAGUCGUAACA